rnacentral:rRNA from 1 species
CCUGCGGAGGGAUCAUUACAAGAACGCCCGGGCUUCGGCCUGGUUAUUCAUAACCCUUUGUUGUCCGACUCUGUUGCCUCCGGGGCGACCCUGCCUUCGGGCGGGGGCUCCGGGUGGACACUUCAAACUCUUGCGUAACUUUGCAGUCUGAGUAAACUUAAUUAAUAAAUUAAAACUUUUAACAACGGAUCUCUUGGUUCUGGCAUCGAUGAAGAACGCAGCGAAAUGCGAUAAGUAAUGUGAAUUGCAGAAUUCAGUGAAUCAUCGAAUCUUUGAACGCACAUUGCGCCCCCUGGUAUUCCGGGGGGCAUGCCUGUUCGAGCGUCAUUUCACCACUCAAGCCUCGCUUGGUAUUGGGCAACGCGGUCCGCCGCGUGCCUCAAAUCGUCCGGCUGGGUCUUCUGUCCCCUAAGCGUUGUGGAAACUAUUCGCUAAAGGGUGUUCGGGAGGCUACGCCGUAAAACAACCCCAUUUCUAAGGUUGACCUCGGAUCAGGUAGGGAUACCCGCUGAACUUAAGCAUAUCAAUAAGCGGAGGAAAAGAAACCAACAGGGAUUGCUCUAGUAACGGCGAGUGAAGCAGCAAUAGCUCAAAUUUGAAAUCUGGCGUCUUCGACGUCCGAGUUGUAAUUUGUAGAGGAUGCUUCUGAGUGGCCACCGACCUAAGUUCCUUGGAACAGGACGUCAUAGAGGGUGAGAAUCCCGUAUGCGGUCGGAAAGGCGCUCUAUACGUAGCUCCUUCGACGAGUCGAGUUGUUUGGGAAUGCAGCUCUAAAUGGGAGGUAAAUUUCUUCUAAAGCUAAAUAUUGGCCAGAGACCGAUAGCGCACAAGUAGAGUGAUCGAAAGAUGAAAAGCACUUUGGAAAGAGAGUUAAAAAGCACGUGAAAUUGUUAAAAGGGAAGGGAUUGCAACCAGACUUGCUCGCGGUGUUCCGCCGGUCUUCUGACCGGUCUACUCGCCGCGUUGCAGGCCAGCAUCGUCUGGUGCCGCUGGAUAAGACUUGAGGAAUGUAGCUCCCUCGGGAGUGUUAUAGCCUCUUGUGAUGCAGCGAGCGCCGGGCGAGGUCCGCGCUCGG